AUUGAACGCUGGCGGCAUGCCUUACACAUGCAAGUCGAACGGUAACAGGUCUUCGGAUGCUGACGAGUGGCGAACGGGUGAGUAAUGCAUCGGAACGUGCCCAGUAGUGGGGGAUAGCCCGGCGAAAGCCGGAUUAAUACCGCAUACGACCUGAGGGUGAAAGGGGGGGAUCACAAGACCUCUCGCUAUUGGAGCGGCCGAUGUCAGAUUAGCUAGUUGGUGGGGUAAAGGCCUACCAAGGCAACGAUCUGUAGUUGGUCUGAGAGGACGACCAGCCACACUGGGACUGAGACACGGCCCAGACUCCUACGGGAGGCAGCAGUGGGGAAUUUUGGACAAUGGGCGCAAGCCUGAUCCAGCAAUGCCGCGUGCAGGAAGAAGGCCUUCGGGUUGUAAACUGCUUUUGUCAGGGAAGAAAUCUUCUGGGUUAAUACCUCGGGAGGAUGACGGUACCUGAAGAAUAAGCACCGGCUAACUACGUGCCAGCAGCCGCAGUAAUAC
rnacentral:rRNA from 1 species